GCCUCUUUCUUUGUGACUUUAAGGGAAACUCAACAUUAAACAAAUAAUACAGGUGUGUUUUUACAGACUUAGACUACCAGCUUGCAAAAAUAAAUAAAUAGGGAAAUUAAAUACUCCACCCUUAAAGAUCCCCAACAAUAAUGUGUGUCUGACAUGUUUUUUCCCCGCAAAAAAAGUAUAAUCCCACAUUAAAAUCCUUAAAAACUCCCUCUUUCCACUUUUAGCAGAUAAAUGUGAAAACAGCCUUCUGGUGUCAAAGUCUGCACAAACAUCAUUCUGCGCUAUGAAACUCAAACAUCCAGCGUUGGAACAACAAAACACUUAUUUUUGAGUGGAGGGUGACUUUAAGGCUGCUAAAAGCCAUACACUGAGUAAGAAUUUAAUUACCUUCAUUGGAAUAAUUAAACAGUGUUUUGCAGCCAGAGCAUGAAACACUUCGAGCCACCGCAGCUGAAGGUAUAUAAAGAGUGCGUUUCCUCUCCCUCAAUAACAGCUACCUGUUGCUGCAACUGCAACUUUAUCAGAUCAUCACGACAAAGGUAAGACUGCAGGAUUCACUCUUUGAUCUCAGCAUCAAAUAAUGAUUAUUGUUCUGUAUUUUUUUAUCAUUAGGUAUAACUUUUAUUUCCCUUCAAAAAGCGAAAUCUUUUUUACAGAUUCCACCAGAUCAGUAUCACACUCACUUUCUUUAUUACUGCUGGUCACUGCAGUAGACAGAUAUAAAGACAAUAAUUGAUGCACUGCAAUAGUUAUCAAACAUAUUCUUUUUUGCUCUGUUCAUCUCUGAUUCAUUAUAGCCUCAUUUGAUUACGAGUCACACAAUUGUAACUCAUGGAAAACAUGUUUAAAGGAGCCCUUCUACUUUGUCGAAAUGCAAAUGUGAAGAAAAAAAACUUCAGAGUCCAGAGUUCUUAGGGGCAGAGGGGAGGGGAGGGAGAGAGGGGAGGGUGUUGAGCUUCCUGACUGCCUGGGGAAUGAAGCUGUUUGCCAGUCAGGUGGAACAGGCUUGGUUGCUCCGGUACCGUCUCCCAGAUGGCACGAAGCUGAAGAGGCUGUGUGAGGGGUGGCUGAGGUCACCCACAAUGCUGGUUGCUUUGCGGCAUGUCUGCCAUCUAUACCAGGCAAAUCUGGUCUCUAUCAAAAGUGAAGAAGAGAAGAACUUUUUGAGAGCUUUGGUUGGACUAUCUGGACUGGGGGCACUGAUGCUGUUGAGGAUCAUGAAUGGCAGUGGACUGAUGGCACCAUGUUCAACAGCAUCAUCUGAAAAACGGCAGUCCUCAAGAGGGAAAUAUAAAGCUAAUCAGAGCGUUUCCAUGACCACAGUAGUAAACAAACAUGGCAUCUGUGGAGGAACGUGUACUAGGACGAAUAAAGGAAAAAAACAGACGACUUUCACUUUUAAAAUUGUAUUUCAUAAAAUAAUUCUAUGUCAAGAUGCCUUAACCUGUUCCCACAGAUAUAUAUUUUGGUGACCUUGACUGUAAGGCAAAACGAUCUUAUUUCUGCAUUAAGUACCUGUAAUGGCCACCAUAUCACAUCUUUCAUGAUGAUGACUUCACAUCCACUUCCGAGACGUAAGGCCUUGAUGAUGUCAACGUUGGAGAGUUUGUUGCUAAUAUUGAUCCACUUCCAAUUAACUCAGUAAACACAGCAUUUAUUCUCAAUGUAAAGAAGCCAAUAUUUCAGUCUGCAGAUUGUGAUUUCAUUUAAUAAACUGGUGGAAUUGAAAGUGAACUGAAAGCUGCUUGCAUUCAAUAAAGACAAUAACUGUUC